rnacentral:rRNA from 1 species
CCUACGGGAGGCAGCAGUGGGGAAUCUUGCGCAAUGGGCGAAAGCCUGACGCAGCAACGCCGCGUGCGGGAUGAAGGCCUUCGGGUUGUAAACCGCUUUUACCAGGAAGGAAAAUGACAGUACCUGGAGAAUAAGGUGCGGCCAACUACGUGCCAGCAGCCGCGGUGACACGUAGGCACCAAGCGUUGUCCGGAUUUAUUGGGCGUAAAGAGCUCGUAGGCGGUUCAGUAAGUCGGGUGUGAAAACUCUGGGCUCAACUCAGAGACGCCACCCGAUACUGCUGUGACUUGAGUCCGGUAGGGGAGUGGGGAAUUCCUGGUGUAGCGGUGAAAUGCGCAGAUAUCAGGAGGAACACCAAUGGCGAAGGCACCACUCUGGGCCGAGACUGACGCUGAGGAGCGAAAGCGUGGGUAGCAAACAGGAUUAGAUACCCUGGUAGUCCACGCCGUAAACGGUGGGCACUAGGUGUGGGUUCCAACCAACGGAAUCCGCGCCGGCGCUAACGCAUUAAGUGCCCCGCCUGGGGAGUACGGCCGCAAGGUUAAAACUCAAAGGAAUUGACGG